GAACGCUGGCGGCGUGCUUAACACAUGCAAGUCGAACGGAAAGGCCCUGCUUUUGUGGGGUGCUCGAGUGGCGAACGGGUGAGUAACACGUGAGUAACCUGCCCUUGACUUUGGGAUAACUUCAGGAAACUGGGGCUAAUACCGGAUAGGAGCUCCUGCUGCAUGGUGGGGGUUGGAAAGUUUCGGCGGUUGGGGAUGGACUCGCGGCUUAUCAGCUUGUUGGUGGGGUAGUGGCUUACCAAGGCUUUGACGGGUAGCCGGCCUGAGAGGGUGACCGGCCACAUUGGGACUGAGAUACGGCCCAGACUCCUACGGGAGGCAGCAGUGGGGAAUAUUGCACAAUGGGCGGAAGCCUGAUGCAGCAAUGCCGCGUGCGGGAUGACGGCCUUCGGGUUGUAAACCGCUUUCGCCUGUGACGAAGCGUGAGUGACGGUAAUGGGUAAAGAAGCACCGGCUAACUACGUGCCAGCAGCCGCGGUGAUACGUAGGGUGCGAGCGUUGUCCGGAUUUAUUGGGCGUAAAGGGCUCGUAGGUGGUUGAUCGCGUCGGAAGUGUAAUCUUGGGGCUUAACCCUGAGCGUGCUUUCGAUACGGGUUGACUUGAGGAAGGUAGGGGAGAAUGGAAUUCCUGGUGGAGCGGUGGAAUGCGCAGAUAUCAGGAGGAACACCAGUGGCGAAGGCGGUUCUCUGGGCCUUUCCUGACGCUGAGGAGCGAAAGCGUGGGGAGCGAACAGGCUUAGAUACCCUGGUAGUCCACGCUGUAAACGGUGGGUACUAGGUGUGGGGUCCAUUCCACGGGUUCCGUGCCGUAGCUAACGCUUUAAGUACCCCGCCUGGGGAGUACGGCCGCAAGGCUAAAACUCAAAGGAAUUGACGGGGCCCCGCACAAGCGGCGGAGCAUGCGGAUUAAUUCGAUGCAACGCGUAGAACCUUACCUGGGUUUGACAUGGAUCGGGAGUGCUCAGAGAUGGGUGUGCCUCUUUUGGGGUCGGUUCACAGGUGGUGCAUGCCUGUCGUCAGCUCGUGUCGUGAGAUGUUGGGUUAAGUCCCGCAACGAGCGCAACCCUUGUUCACUGUUGCCAGCACGUUAUGGUGGGGACUCAGUGGAGACCGCCGGGGUCAACUCGGAGGAAGGUGGGGAUGACGUCAAGUCCUCAUGCCCCUUAUGUCCAGGGCUUCACGCAUGCUACAAUGGCUGGUACAGAGAGUGGCGAGCCUGUGAGGGUGAGCGAAUCUCGGAAAGCCGGUCUCAGUUCGGAUUGGGGUCUGCAACUCGACCUCAUGAAGUCGGAGUCGCUAGUAAUCGCAGAUCAGCAACGCUGCGGUGAAUACGUUCCCGGGGCUUGUACACACCGCCCGUCAAGUCAUGAAAGUUGGUAACACCCGAAGCCGGUGGCCUAACCGUUGUGGGGGAGCCGUCGAAGGUGGGACUA
rnacentral:rRNA from 1 species